rnacentral:rRNA from 1 species
GUGUCAGCAGCCGCGGUAAUACAGAGGCCCCAAGCGUUACUGAGAAUCACUGGGUUUAAAGGGUGCGUAGGUGGCGCGUUAAGUCCGUUGUGAAAUCCCUUGGCUCAACCAAGGAAUGGCUUCGGAUACUGGCGUGCUUGAGGCCGGUAAGGGUCACUGGAACUGACGGUGGAGCGGUGAAAUGCGUAGAUAUCGUCAGGAACGCCAAUGGUGAAGACAGGUGACUGGGCCGGUUCUGACACUGAGGCACGAAAGCGUGGGGAGCGAACGGGAUUAGAUACCCCUGUAGUCC